UUGUUUGCUGUUUUCGCGAUCGCGUCGCGCAUGAGGAUAUCACCAGGGCUUUGGAGUUGACAUCACGCCGCAAUGCAUUGUGGGAGCGCGGCGCCAUGUUCGGGGUCUACGACUCAAAACGGACACUGUGUUGGAACGACGACGACAAGAAUCAUGCUUAAAAGCAGCUCCAAAGAAAACGGAUGGUAUAGAGACCGAUUGCGUCCAGAGGCGAAGCAGCGGUACUUGCAGAAAUAGCGUACAUUGGAAAUGUGGACCCGAAUGAAACACAGCCGUGGAGUAGAAACCCUGAAGACCAAACCGCUAUUGACGUAGCCUGACAUAUUUUCGUACCUUAUCUGUGGAGUCAGCGCUUACAAGUCGUCAUUCAAACAAAGGUGCUGCACUCUCAAAGACUGAA